rnacentral:rRNA from 1 species
CGGGUGAGUAAUACAUAGGAAUCUACCCAGUAGCGGGGGACAACUUGGGGAAACUCAAGCUAAUACCGCAUACGCCCCACGGGGGAAAGCAGGGGAUCUUCGGACCUUGCACUAUUGGAUGAGCCUAUGUCAGAUUAGCUUGUUGGUGGGGUAAUGGCCUACCAAGGCGACGAUCUGUAGCUGGUCUGAGAGGAUGAUCAGCCACACUGGAACUGAGACACGGUCCAG